UACGGAAGAGAAGAGAAGCUGAAGAAACCACUCGAUCACCACCUCACAUCAUUUACUCGAUCGCACCACUCGAUCGCAAGGUCGCUGGACCAUUCCAUCUCGUCUUCACUAUAGACCACUCGAUCGCAAGACAGAGUUCCCGAAGCCCAGUUUGAUCAGUUUCACUCGAUCACAGGGAAGCCCAUUUCAGCCCAUCAGAUGCUUGAUCGCAAAGUCUUGUUGUGAAGACCACUAUCCCGAACUUUCCUUAUUUAACUUUUUUCGCUUAUAUAAGCAGCCUCUAAGGGUUUUCCCUAGGGCAUCCAGUUUUUAUUUUCAGUUUUUACCUAGACUCGUUUUGGUAGCCGCAGUGUGUUCUUCCUGCGACUUUGUAUUUGCUUUCAAGUAUUUUAUAAUUCAGUUUUUGUUUCACUCUUUAUCAUUUCUUGUUAUCAUGUUUUCUAUCGUUUCAUUGCUAUUGUUUUUGAUUAUGUCUGAGUAGUGAAGUGUAUUUCUGAGGAUGGGAUAGAGUGGUCGUGGUUGUCUUAGUCGAUUUAGAUGGUUGAGUUUAGAUUGUUUGAAUCCCUUCUGGAUUAGUUGCGCUUAUUGCUUGUUCCUUUCUGAUCAACUGGAAAAUGAAUCCAGACAUUCCCGCACCCAAAAGGUGUUUGAUGGAAUGUUUGAUCCACUAAUUCCAGAGAUACUCGUCUCUAUCCCAAGGUAUUGGCCGUUUAGAGCGGGUAUUGGCUUUAACAAGUUGAUUCGAUAUUGCCUGCUUAGUUAGAGAUCGCUAAUGGUGAUUAGGUCUGUGUCUAGCUCUGCUUGAGAAUUUCUAUCACGGUGGUGAAUUGAUUUGCUUUUGAACUUGUUGUCAAGGGAUAGCUUCUGUGAAGUUUUGUCAACCGUCUAAAUAGAUUAAGGAGACCACGCUAUUCGAUUACCCUGUCCUUAGGAAUCUCUCAUCCAUUUGAUUGCCUGCUAUUUUACCUGCUUUAUUAUUCAACUGCCUGCUAUUGCUAGUUUGCAUCUCGGUUUCAUUUCAUUUCUGUUAUUUCGCAUUAGGAUUGUUAGAAAACAACAACUCUCUGCUUGGCUUGACUUAGCAAAUUCUGAUCAUAUCUCAUCUGUUUGCAUCGCACUAGAUUGGAUUGACACCCUAAAAUACUACGACGACACGAUAGUGUUUUAGGUUUAAUUGAUCUGAAAAGUCUAUUAUCAAUCUCUUCCCUAAAAUUAUUCAUAUAUACGUAUAAACACAUAUUACAAGAUGUAAUGAUGAGGUUGCAUUAAUUAAAGUGGGCAAUAGUCAUGUCUAAACUUUUUUGGCAUUUAAUCAUGAUGGCACAUAGUUUUUUUAAUGUUAUUAAGCCUCCAUUUUCACUGUACAGCUGCAAAAAACAAAUAAAAACAAAAAUAUAUGACCCUAACUAAACAUUGUACAUAACAGAACCGCGUAACUGAACCGCGUAACUGAACCGCGUAACUGAACCGCGUAACUGAACCGUACACGAAACAGUACAUCGUUACGUAAGCAAGGGUAUUUUGGUCAGAAUUUGGCUGAAUUAUCAUAACGUGAGAGGUGACGCUCACUUUGCCAAACCGUUAAAAUAAAACAUGGUCUUAUGCCCUGUCUCGUUAAUUAUAAGGAUUUUAUCCCUGUCGUAGUGAUUUGGGUUUUCCCUGUACGAUUCAUAUCGCUUCAAGACUUCAUCAUCUGUGUUAAUCGAAGAAAUAAACGGCUUUUGUGUUUCUUGGUUCACACUUGUCUGACUCGUCUUCUCUGUUUCCUUGGAUGGCAAGAAAGAAGAAUCUUGAGGUCUCUCUCAUUAUUCUUGACUAGUGCGUGCUCGAUUCUGAAGACAUAUGGAUGUCGAGUUACAGGAAGAUCCUUUGGAGCACAGGAGAGAGCUGUAUGCGGGAAGCUGCGAGACAUAAAAUGAUGAUGACGUGGCAAGCUGCGAUUGGUGACUGGAGUUUCCAGAACGUGAGAAUCAAGUUAUUCAAGAUAUAUGCAAAUCAAGGAAAAAAGAUUUGAAGAUAUCUUAGAAUAGGAAAUUAGGUUAGCUGCGUUUGUGUGGCUACCUAUAUAUUGGUAGUCUAAGCGUUAGGCUUAGGUUGGCCAUCGUUUAUCAUCUCUGUGAAUCACAAGUUCUAGGCUAGAAGCUGUUAGGGUUCUUGGUGAGUGAUCAGAGUGUCCAGCAUAGUUGUUGCUGUGUUUGUGAGAUUGGGUAGAUUAGGAAUUGGUUAGUGACGAGUUGUGUCAACGUCGUGUAAAUCAGAUUAAACAGAUCUAUUAGAUUGUUUAAGUGAUUCCUAAUAAAGAAAAGAGGUUAUUUUCAAUCCCAACGACAUCUACGUUAUAACAUUUGGUAUCAGAGCAGGUGACCGACCUGAGUGCUGACUCAACACAGGCUAAGAUCCUGCGUGUAACACUCCGGUUUCAGGAAUAUGGUGGUGCAUGCGGAGAGGUUUAAAAGAAUUGAUUUGGCUACCUAUGUCACCAAAGUGCACUUAUCUUUUCGGUCAACUGUCCUGAAAGAACUCCACAGUUAAGGGUGCUUGAGCUGGAGCAAUUUCAGGAUGGGUGACCUUCCGGGAAGUGAUUGUCGGAAAUAUGUGAGUGAGGACAAAACACAGAGAAAGAUCAUGUGGUGAUUUGUAGGGUCGGUAAACAAGUCUUUAAAGCCUUCCGGACGUAACGGAUUGGCCGUCGAAAGUGGUGGGACUGCAGGCCCGAGAGAGGACGUGGGGCCCAUUAAGAGAAUUGGCGGUCGGGGCGUUACAAGUGGUAUCAGAGCCGAACCCAGACGAGUGUGGAGUCAAGAGGGCUCACACCGUAGGGGGUGACGGUCUUGGUGCGCAACGAGGACGUUGCGAUCUGUUAGUGGGGGUGAAUUGUAACACCCCGGUUUCAAGAAUAUGGUGGUGCAUGCAGAGAGGUUUAAAAGAAUUGAUUUGGCCACCUAUGUCACGAAAGUGCACUUAUCUUUUCGGUCAAUUGUCCUGAAAGAACUUCACAGUUAAGGGUGCUUGAGCUGGAGCAAUUUCAGGAUAGGUGACCUUCCGGGAAGUGAUUGUCGGAACUGUGUGAAUGAGGACAAAACACAGGAAAAGAUCAUGUGGUGAUUUAUAGGGUCGGCAAACAAGUCUUUAAAGCCUCCCGGACAUAACAGACUGGCCGUCGAAAGUGGUGGGCCUGCGGGCCCGAGAGAGGACGUGUGGCCCAUUAAGAGAAUUGGCGGUCGAGGCGUUACACUGCGGAUUACAGAUGUCGAAGACAAAACUCCAGAGACCAGUGAUGUUGGACCACAAAGGCUACGGCUACUGGAAAACACGGAUGAUGCAGUUAAUGAGAGGGCUGGGUGAAGACGCCUGGACUGCAAUUGAAGAUGGUUGGGAAGCUCCGUUCAGCACAACCGAGGCAGGUAUGAAGGUGAAGAAACUAAAAGCAAACUGGAAUGAUGCAGAGAAGAGUCUGUCCAAAUUUAAUGCAAGGGCCAUGAAUACUAUCUACUCAUGCCUUGAUGAUAAUGAAUUCAAUCUGGUUCAAAGAAGUGAGUCUGCUAAACAGAUGUGGGAUAUUCUACAAAAAUCACAUGAAGAAAAAACUAGUGUAAAACGCACCAGGUUAGAUCAAUUGGCUACAGAUUUUGAAAAUCUGAAGAUGGAUCCUGCAGAGACGAUUGUUCAGUACAGAUCCAAACUGAGUGGUAUUGCUAAUGAAGCGAAGACAUUGGGAAAAAUAUAUAAAGAGAAGAAAUUGGUGAAGAAACUGCUUUGUUGUCUACCACAGAAGUAUGCUGCACACAAGGCUGUCAUGAGGUUAUCAGGUAACACAGAUACUCUUAAAUAUGAAGACCUGCUUGGGAUUCUGAAGUCUGAUGAAAUGGAAGUUGUUGAAUAUCAACAAAAUCUGAACAAAGGAAUAGCAUUCAAAGCUGAUGAAGAAAAAGGCCCAGAUCCGCUGCAAGAAAUUAGAGACAACAUGUCUCUCAUAACCAGAAACCUUGGAAAAGCUCUGAAACAUGUAGAAAGAGGUUAAAACAGGGAAUCCAACCGUUGGAACAAGGGUGAUGCAGGAAAGUUAGGCAACAUGUCUGAUGCAAAAAAGUCAGGCAACAGGUCUGAUGCGAACGAAACAUCAGGAAGAAGGCAUGAUCUAAAAUGUCAUGAGUGUGGAGGUAUGGGACAUACCAGACCUGAAUGUCCUGUAGCAAAACGUAAGGAUAUGAAGUGCUAUGAGUGUAAUGGUGUUGGACACCUGAAAUCUGAAUGUCCAAGUGCAUAGAAAGUCAAAGAGAAGUCUUUUCUGAGUCUUAGUAAUUCUGAAUCAGACAGUGAUGAUGCAACAGAAGUUAUACUGAAUUUUGUUGCAUUCAUCGUUAAGGAUGACGACAAAUCAGGCAGUGAGGACUCUGAUUCAGAUAAUGAUGGAGAGCUGAUCACAAGCGACAACUACCGCACCCUAUAUGACAGUUGGGUACUGCUGAGCAAUGAUAAGCUGCAGCUCACUAAGGAGAAUCUGAUGCUUAUGGCAAAAGUGAACAUGUUAGAAGUAGAAGCCAAAGAAGAGAAAGUUGGUGAAAAGCUACCUUUGCCUGAGAAGCAAAUUUUUGAGAAAAAGAUGAAUCUCUUUCAAGAAGGUUAUGAGAAAGAGAAAGAAAAAUCUCUUAUGCUGGAAAGAAAACUGAGUGAAAACCACAAGAAAAUCCGAAUACUGAACAGUGGUGGUAAAAAUCUUGACCAGAUUCUUUCCAUGGGAAUAGUUGGAUCAAGCCACAAAGGUUUGGUGUAUCAGCCCUAUGCUCCCAAAGCAUCCCUGGAUGUGUCUAAGACUGUCCAGUUUGUGAAGAGUACAACCUAUCAUGGAGAAGAUGCUCAAGGAGUGAAAACAGUAGAGUAGAAACAGCAAUCCAGAAAGACAAACCAAGAUGCUUCACAAAAUGCGGCUGUAAAAUACAGGAAGGCAGAACCCAGAAAGAAGUGGACCAGGUCCAACAGAGGUCGAAGAGUGUUUGAUUGCUUCUACUGUGGAAAACCAGGUCAUACCAGAAACUUUUGUUACAAGUUUCAAGACAAGAUCAAGCAAUUGUGGCAGGCACGUAAAUGCUUUAUUGAUCCUUCUAAGUUCUGUAAAGUCUGGGUUUGCAAGAGAGAUCUGUACAACAAAGAUCCUGAGCAUGAUGAAGAAAAGUACAACAGAGCAGUUGCUGAAUCUAAAGGAAUCAGCUUGACCUGUAAUGUGACCAUUGCACAACUUGAUGAGUCUGAUGAAGAUGAGAGUCUCACAGAAAAGGUAGCCUACACAUCUACAGAUGGAACUGCAAGUAACCCUUGGUACUUUGACAGUGGCUAUUCAAGACUUAUAACAGGUGAUCUGAAUGUUCCGUCAACCUUCACAGAAGAGGCCUGCGAAAAAGUAACAUUUGGAGAUGGUGGUAAAAGAUGCAUAAAAGGCAAAGGAAACAUUGAAGGUGAUGAUCAACCAUCAUUAAUAAAUGUGUUCUAUGUUGAAGGCUUGAAAGUUAAUCUAAUCAGCAUAAGUUAGUUGCGCGAUGAUGGUCUGAAAGUGAUCUUCACAAGAACUGACUGUAAAGCUGUUGAUGAGAAUGGAAAUACUGUACUGUGUGGGGUUCGCUCUGGGAAUAACUGCUACAUAUGGAAGGCAUCAGAUGUCUGUCUAUCUUCAUCUGCAUCAGACUUAAAGCUGUGGCACAAGAGACUUGGACAUAUGAACGUCCAGAAUCUGGUUAAAAUUGUGAACGCUGGAGUGGUUCGAGGUGUACCAAAACUGGUUGACAAACUGGAGUCUUUGUGCAGUGCAUGUAAUAAAGGAAAGCAGAUCAAGGUCAAUCAUAAGAAGGUACCUGAAAUUGAAACUAAAAAUGUACUUGAGCUGAUUCAUAUGGAUCUCAUGGGUCUAGUACAAGUGGAAAGUAUCAAUGGGAAGAAGUACAUCUUUGUGUUGGUAGAUGAUUUUUUAAGGUACACAUGGGUUCAGUUCCUAAGAGAGAAGUCUGAACCAGUGGAAAGUUUUAAGAUUCUUGCCCUACAACUUCAGAAUGAAAAGGGAAGGAUCAUUCAGAUAAGAAGUGAUCAUGGUGGAGAAUUCCAAAAUGAGUUUUUUGAACAGUUCUAUAAAACUCAAGGAAUCAGACAUCAGUAUUCAGCACCCAGAACACUUCAGUAUAAUGGAGUUGUUGAACGGAAAAACAAAAUACUGCAGGAAACGGCUCGUGCUAUGAUACAUGGUAAAACAUCUCUCAAGGUUUCUGGGCAGAAGCAGUUAGCACAGCAUGCUACAUUGUCAACAGGGUUUAUGUAAAACCUGGAACAAAGACCACUUCAUACGAGAUAUGGAAGGGAAAAAGUCUGAAUCUGAGCCAUUUUCGUGUAUUUGGAUGUGUUUGUUAUAUUCGUAAUGACAAUGAGCACUUUGGAAAAUUCGACUCUAGAAGUGAUGAGGGAAUUUUCUUGGAAUACUCUACAAACAGCUCAACAUACAGAGUGUACAACAAGAGGACCAAGUACAUUGUUGAUACUGACAAUGUGGUCUUUGAUGACAAAAAUAUAUUUCUGUUACCUCAUGUACUAGACGAGUUCAUAGAAGAACCUGUAGUAGACGAGUCUACAGAAGCACCUGUAGCAGACAAGUCUACAGAAGCACAUGCAGCUGUCGAGUCUACAGAAGCACCUACAGCUGACGCACCUAAAACAGUUGUUGAAGAAAAAGUCAAUGACAGAGAAGUAUCAUCUGAGACACAGUCACCUGUUGCACCUUUUGCGACAAAGAAGCUAGUUGUUCAUAAGAAUCAUUCAGCUGCUGAUGUGAUAGGAAAUCUGAAUGAAAGAACGACCAGAGGUGUUCAGCUUAACUUCCAAGAAAUGCUGCAGUACUCGUGUUUUGUGUCUUUAGUUGAACCCAAGAAUAUUGUUGCAGCUCUUGAAGAUGAAUUCUGGUAUGGUGCAUGUACAGAGGAACUAAAUCAGUUUUCCAGAAAUGAAGUGUGGGAUCUGGUACCUCGACCUGUACAGGUAAAUGUUUUGGGCACAAAAUGGAUAUUCAAUAACAAGAUUGAUGAAGAUGGGAAUGUGACCCGCAACAAAGCUCGUCUGGUUGCACAAGGAUACUCCCAAGUAGAAGUUAUCGAAUUUGAUGAGACUUUCACUCUUGUAGCACGUCUUGAGUCAUUUAGAUUGCUCCUUGAAAUUGCAUGUGUGCUGAACAUCAAGUUGCAUCAGAUGGAUGCAAAGAGUACAUUUCUGAAUUGGUCUGCUCCAAGAAGAAGUAUAUGUUGCCCAGCCUAAAGGAUUUGAAGAUUCUCACUUUCCUGAGUAUGUAUACAAGCUGAAGAAGGCGCUCUAUGGAUUGAAGCAGGCUCCACUUGCUUGGUAUGAAAGACUGACUCAAUUUCUGGUAGACAAUGGAUUUAACAGAGGCCUGUAGACAAGACUCUGUUUAUCUAUAACUCUGGAUCAGACAUUCUGGUUGUCCAGAUCUAUGGAGAUGAUAUUGUAUUUGGAAGCACCAGAACAGAACUACUCAACAAGUUUGUCCAGACAAUGACUAAGCAGUUCAAAAUGGGCAUGGUCAGAGAGUUGAAUUACUUCUUGGUUUUACAGAUUACACAAUCUUUCGAGGGUAUGUUCAUCUCCCAGAGCACAUAUGCGAAGAAUCUCAUCAAGUGGUUUGACCUGCAAACCAGCAAGACAGCACGCACUCCCAUUAGUACAGCCUCAAAGCUGUGAGAUUACAAGUGCAAUUGAUAUCACAAAAAGUCCUGUUCAACACACUCGCACUAAGCACAUUGAUGUUAGGCACCAUUUCGUUAGAGAAAUAAUUGAAGGGAAACUUGUUGAAAUUCAUUAUAUUGCUACUGAGAAACAGCUGGCUUAUAUCUUUACUAAACCACUUGAUUUGAGAACUUUCAGAAAUUUGUAAAAGUCACUUUGUAUUUGUGAACACUGAACACUGACCUGCUUUGUCACUAAGGGAUUAUUGUAACAGGAUCACUACACAGGAGUACAUCAGUUUUUUAAUCCCUUGGUUACUGUGCUGUAGACUACAGCCUGUACAUAACAAGAAAAAUCUCCUAUUGGCAACUUCACUCAGAAAAAGAGCUGCUCUUCAUAUCUGGCUUCGAAGAUGUUCAACAGAGAUGGCUUUCUCGUUUGCAUAUCAAUCUUGAUCACUAAAAAAAAAGAAAGAACAAGAAACAAAGGAAUGAAAAGAUGAGAUAAUUUUCUUUUGAGUAAAGGGGUAGGAAAAUUUCCAAUAACCUCAUUAUUUUACUUUGAAAGGAAUGAUCACACAAAGGUUAGAAGCGAUGUUAGGAAAAUUUUCCGUGAUACCAUUAUUCGCCUACACCUUUGACAACUAUUAAAAAAAAAAAAAAAAGGGGAGAAAGCUGUCUCGAAAAUAUCAUCUGGUUGGGUAUGCAGAUGUGUAGACUAGUCUGAGUGAAGCAGUGUGUGUGAAAACUCCUCAUCUGAGAAAUAGCUACCUCACUGAGCUGGUGGGUUGAACCUGUUUUGAGUUCGUUGUGCUUGCUCAUGUGCACAUCAUGUUGCUUCAUAAAAUUUGUGUUCAAAGGUAUGUUGUGGGUGCAUCUACUGAGUGACAACCCAAUGAAUCUAACACUUAAAAGUUGUUUCUUGGUUAGCAUAUCUGGAUCUUUAACAUGGUCACUUCCUGUUCUCUGUCUACUUAAUUAAUGGAUGCACGUUUUUCUGUAUACAACAGAUUAUGUUUGUGUAACAUAGAGUGUCUUGUUUAAAUUGCAGAUGGAAUAUCUUUUGCCAAGCUCAAUUUUUGUCUCACCGGUAAACACCGGUUAUGUGUACUAAUGCGAUUUGUGAGUCUUUGAUGCAAUUUCAGGGUUUGUCAUUUGACACUGCCUCUCCUGUCCUGGAAUGUCUUGAGUCUGUUUUUACAUGAAUAUGCACCCAAGCAGGGGGAGAAUAUGGUGAUCUGUAGGAUCUGUGAGUAAGUGGGAGCAAAUGCUUCUGAUGCUCUGGAGCUUGAGGUGUCACAUUCAAGUAAAAAGGGGGAGAUUGAAGACAUAUGGAUGUCGAGUUACAGAAAGAUCAUGUGGAGCACAUGAGAGAGCUGUAUGCGGGAAGCUGCGAUUGGUGACUGGAGAACGUGAGAAUCAAGUUAUUCAAGAUAUAAGCAAAUCAAUGAAAAAAAAAUUGAAGAUAUCUUAGAAUAGGAAAUUAGGUCAGCUGCGUUUGUGUGGCUACUUAUAUAUUGGCAGUCUAAGCAUUAGGCUUAGGUUGGCCGUCUUUUAUCAUCUCUGUGAAUCACAAGUUCUAGGCUAGAAGCUGUUAGGGUUCUUGGUGAGUGAUCAGAGUGUCCAGCAUAUAUGUUGAUGUGUUUGUGAGAUUGGGUAGAUUAGGAAUUGGUCAGUGACGAGUUGUGUCAACGUCGUGUAAAUCUGAUAAAACAGAUCUAUUAGAUUGUUUAAGUGAUUUCUAAUAAAUAAAAGAGGUUCUUUUCAGUCCCAUCGACAUCUACGUAAUAAGAGAUUCUUCUUCGUAGGAGAUAUUGGAUCGUCGUGGAGAGACAUAUCUGUUUCCUUGGAUCGCAAGAAAGAAGACUCUUUAGUGAUCUUUCGGUUCUUCUUCGUCUCUUCGUCGGAGAGAAUUAUCGUUAAAACGAGUUUAGGGAGAGUAGUGACACCGCAAGUGAUUAGAAUAGUUAUAUAUAUAGACAAAUAAAUAGUUCUCUAAUAUUUUUUUUCCUUCUUUAAUUUUUUUUUGUCAACGUUUUUCGUCUUUAAUUUGUUAAGCAAUUUUAUGGGUAUGCCUUUAAAUACAGAGACGUAUUUGUUAUUUGAAUGAGAAAAAUAUGUUGAAACAAAGAGAAUAUGAUUUUCAUGAUUAUUUUUACAACACCUAAAAACAAAAAUAAAGUAAUUUAAUUGAUUCAUUCACUAAAUGCCCUAUUUAAUUAUUGUUUUCACAUUGAGUCAAAGUAAUAUAUAUAUAUAUAUAUAUGUAUAGAUUAGGAUCCGCCCGAUGUGCGGGUUUCAAAAUUUUUAAAUUAAAUUAAGUUUAACAAAAAAAACAUAUUUAACUUUUUAUUGUGAAUAUAAACUAUUUUAAGAAAUAAGAAGAUAAAAUUUUAAUUAGAUUGAAGAUUAGUUUUUUUUUUUUCCCGGCAAAAACAGACUUCCAUUGACUUAAAAGAGUUAUUACAAAGACUUUAACAGAAUUACUAGAACAUAAUUAUUACAUACGCAAAUGUAUGUGCCAUACACUAAGAAAAAUACAGCAGAAGAAAGAUUGACGAUGCUUUCCGAAGAGUAGUCUUACUCGCUAACCGACCAUAAGAUCCAUUAUUGGCCAACUUUAUAUAUGAUUUUUCUUUGUUACGAUUGGCAUGCAACAACUUGUGGCUGAACUUUCUUUUUGCAAACCGUAACUUUAAACCCGAUGUGUCCUUAAAUAAUUCUGAAAUGUAGACACAGUGAUACUAAAGCUUCCGUACCAAAGUCUUUCUUAAAAAACUCGACUUUGUAAUUUUCUUUAACAUAAUCACAAAUAAAUUUACUGUAGUCGAAGUAGGUUCGACUAUAAUAUCCUUUGAAAAGAUUGCCUUACCAUAUUCCAAAAAAUCCCUAAAUCUUACCCGAAAGAAACAUAGGCCUUGACACAACAACAUUUUCAUGGUCACUUCUGUUGAAGAAACAACAAGUGAUGCGUUUGAUCCCACGACACAAUCAACGUCAUCAUCAUUGAGGUUGGAUUUUACACUAAUUUUAAAACCAAACAAACCAUUGGUAUUCCUUGAAGUAUUAAAAUUGUUGAAAAUCACCAAUUGAAGCGGUGGGCUUGGCCAAUAUUGAUGAAGCCCAUUGACAUUUGAAAAAAGCAACAAGACAAAUUCAUCAUUCUUCUCCACCAAGCAUCCGAGCAAGAGGAUUCUGAACGCGUUCAUAUAGUCGUGUGAAAUUUACUCUUGCACGCGCCGCCGUCUUCCUUCUCGUCACUCUCUCUCCAUGAAUCUCCACAAAGAGAUUUUUGUUGAUAAAACCUGACUUAUUUCUUCUAAUGGAUAUGAAAUCAUGUCGUAUCCGUCCAUUAACACAAUUGCCCAUACCGAUCUUGUGCAUAUAUUCCACUGUAUAUCUCGCUGAUGCAUUCCAUAACCACCAAAUCCAACCAAUAUUAAUCAAAUCAUGUGGCCAAAACUUGACUAUGUCUAUAAUGGACUUCAAAAACUGAAUCCGAUUAUGAUCAAAUUGAUGCAUCCGUAGUUUCAUCACACAAACAGUAGAAUCACAAUUGAUUACUCCAGGAUCCCAUAUCCGAAAUUGAUUUCCAAUUCCUGAAUUGGAGAGAUUCAUCUGAGAAACACCGUUCGAAGAAGGAAAGAAGCCGACACCAUAACACUUGAGUUUUAUUGGGAGAUAUGAGAUUGUAUAUUAUUGUAUUUCCUUAUUUUCGGGAUUCUAAAGAGAUCUUACUUGAUCCCCAAGUUCUAGAGAGAUCUUACUUGAUCCCCAAGUUAUAACUCUAUGUAUAAAUAUAGACGUGUAAUCGUUUGUGAAUAAUAAGAGAAGAACACAUUAAACCUAGCCGUCUCUUAUUCUACAUGGUAUCAGAGCCUAGGUCCUAAUCUCUUUGUUUUUAUCUUCUUCACUUUCUAAAUCUUUGAUUAAGAUCACUUGUUUGGUGCUAUGUCGACGGGAGAAGAUGGAAGAGCUAUUGUCCCUAAGCCCUCUGGUUCAAGUGAGAGCCAGACCUGCGCUUUUUCCUCAUCGGACAACCCAGGUUCGAUGAUCUCCUAUGUUCAGUUGACGGGAGAGAACUACGCGGAGUGGGCUACAGAGAUGAUGAAUGCUCUUAAGGCAAAGAGGAAGACCGGGUUUGUUGAUGGCUCAAUCGUGAAGCCGAUGGCUGCAGGUUUGGAGUUGGAGACGUGGACCAACGUGAACUCGAUGGUGGUAGGGUGGCUGAGAACUUCUAUCGUGCCUCGGAUCAGAUCCACGGUGUCAUUCAUCUCUGACGCAGCUGAGUUGUGGGAAAGCUUGAGAAAAAGAUUUUCUGUUGGAAACAAAGUUCGAACCAUCAGAUUGUCUCUCUCAUAAGUUCAUGUUGUCAAGAAGGUCAAUCCGUAAUUGAUUAUUACGGACGCCUGGUGGUGUUGUGGGAUGAGUUACAAAGUUAUCGCACAAUUCCCGUGUGUACGUGUGGAGCCGGUUCUCAAAUCGCAAAAGAGAGAGAGGAUGAAAAGGUGCAUCAGUUCUAUCGUGCCUCGGAUCAGAUCCACGGUGUCAUUCAUCUCUGACGCAGCUGAGUUGUGGGAAAGCUUGAGAAAAAGAUUUUUUGUUGGAAACAAAGUUCGAACCAUCAGAUUGUCUCUCUCAUAAGUUCAUGUCGUCAAGAAGGUCAAUCCGUAAUUGAUUAUUACGGACUCCUGGUGGUGUUGUGGGAAGAGUUGCAAAGUUAUCGCACAAUUCCCGUGUGUACGUGUGGAGCCGGUGCUCAAAUCGCAAAAGAGAGAGAGGAUGAAAAGGUGCAUCAGUUUGUCAUGGGGCUUGAUGAGUCUCGGUUUGGUAAAGUGAUUUGUUCAAUCAUUGAUGCCGAUUGAUAUGUCUAUAAUUUGCAUGAUUUAAGCAUUCAUUCUUCAUCACUUUGUCAUUGUUUCAAUCACAUUUCAUCUCAUUAGUAGUCGUUUUAGUGUGUUUUGCAUACUUAGGACGUUUUUGCAUUAGGAUUGCAUGUGCAUCGCAUAUUUGGUUGUUUUCAGGUACUUUGGAUGCUUUUGGAGUUCAAACAGAGGAGAAACAGAACAGAAAUUCAAAACGCUCAAUCACUCCCUCAGCCAAAGCACUCGAUCGCAACCUCGGAGCCCUGACAGAGCAAAGCACUCGAUCGCAACCCCAGAAACUGUCAUGAAGGGCAAAACCACUCGAUCACAACCCCGGAGCAAUUUCAGAAGAAACCACUCGAUCGCAAGAUCGAGCAGAAGCUGUCAUGAAGGAUAUAUCACUCGAUCACAACCCCGGAGAAGCCAGCAGCUCAGUUUCACUCGAUCGCAAGCCCGGAGGGAUCACCCACUCUACACCACUCGAUCACCACCUCACGUCAUCUACUCGAUCGCACCACUCGAUCGCAAUGUCGCUGGACCAUUCCAUCUCGUCUUCACUACAGACCACUCGAUCGCAAGACGGAGUUCCCGAAGCCCAGUUUGAUCAGUUUCACUCGAUCACAGGGAGGCCCAUUUCAGCCCAUCAGAUGCUCGAUCGCAGGGUCUCGAUGUGAAGACCACUAUCUCGAACUUUCCUUAUUUGAUUUUUUUUCGCUUAUAUAAGCAGCCUCUAAGGGUUUUCCCUAGGGCAUCCAGUCUUUUAUUUUCAGUUUUUACCUAGACUAGUUUUCGUAGCCGCAGUGUGUUCUUCCUGCGACUUUGUAUU
rnacentral:lncRNA from 1 species